AGACGAAUUUACGCAUGGCGAAGUGUUGCGAAGUGCGCAAAGCCAGCGCUGGCGAAUUUUCUCCGGUUAGUGAAUUUGCCCCUAUGAGUGGCCUUAGUUCUGCACCUGGGACCUAUACUGAGCGUAGCGAUACUGGCUCUGUGACAAUGAUGGUAGUUGUAGUUCUACUUCAGCUGCAACACCUAUUUAAUGCUGUUUGUGUGUCCAGCAGAGAGCCGUUGCACCCCUAACAUUGUACAAUGGAUGAAGAGGGCCUGGCCACUGCCCUUCACACAUACAGAGCUCAGCUGGAGCAGGUGGUACAGCCGUACUGGCCUUAAGGGGGGCCUGUUCGGCACUUUUCAUUUAGCCUGGCCCCCCCUUAACAGCGGCAAAGUUAAUGCGCCGCCGAAGACUCAAAGCCACGAAAAGAUCCAAAGUUGAAGUCCUGAUGCCGCGAUAAGACCCGAAGCUACGUAAGGAGCCUAAGCUAAAGCCACAUAAAGACCCGAAGCCAUGAAAGGAGUCGAAUGAAACAUAAGAAGAACCUAACGUAACAAAAGUGCUGGAAGUGCCUAUGAAUAAGUGCCUGUGGGUGCGAAACGCGUAAGGCGGAGCAUCAAUUGG